ensembl:rRNA 5S_rRNA 5S ribosomal RNA
GUUGAUAGCCAUACCACCCUGAAUGUACCUGAUCUCAUCUCAUCUUGGAAGCUAAGCAGGGUUGGGCCUGGUUAGUACAGUUAGAACUGGACAUGGAACAACAGACUGGUUCCAAAU